CUGCUGGGACAGAGAGCAGUAAGUUGUAAUUAGCAGUGAGCUAGAAUCUUUGCUCCUAGCAGAAAAGGGUCUUUAUGCCCUUACAUGCAGGUGGACAGAGCGGGGCAGCUGGAUGGAGCUGGCUGGUUAGCAGGUUCAAAGGAAUAUCCAGUUGUUCAAAUCAAGCCAGGAGGGGUUGACAUCUCCCCACUGCCUGAGAGACGAUAGGUCAGAACGAAUCCUGCUUUUCCAUUCAAGUCCUGAGCUGGUGAACGUGACCCCAUCAAGACCAGCCGGCCAGGAUGGGUCCAGAGGAGAACAUCUGCCUUUGCAUCCACUCUUUUCUGCAUGGGAAGAUCCAGCAGCAGUGGAAGUCCCAACCGAUAAAUCCCCACGAGUGGCAUUUCUGGGCCAGGAAGCCUAAUUGACGUCUCUGGAAUGGAUUUCCACUCUCGUCUCACCUAACCCCUCCGGUUUGUGGUUGAUUCGUCACUGGAGUGGGAUAGAAGGAAAGAGGGAGAGGCAAUCAGAGCUCCUGGAGUUCUUCUGAAGCCAAGCUGUCUUAGAUGCGGGAGACCGUGGGCACCAGACAGCUGUGUGAGGAGCGAUGGUCCUGAGAGACUGGGGAGAGAGACUCCAGGGCAGGAAGGACACAGAGACAACCAUGGUCUCUGAAUUAUUCAGGAGAAGCCAGCUGCAACCAGACAGCCCCAAACUUUUAACAUCACAAGUAAGUUUGCUUCUCACUUAGCGAGAGGCAGGGUGAGGGACCUCCAGCGUUAUUCAGGCUAUUUCAUCCUGAGGCUUCAGCCCGAUAGGGUCCCUGGCAUCCUCUGCGUGCAGCCAGCAGAUGGAGAAAGAGAGUGAGUGUCGGUGGGGGAGUUUCUAUAGGUCUGCCUGUAGGUGGUCUCCAUCACUCCUGCUCAUAUUCCAUUGUCCAGAGUCCAAGUCACCAGUCCUCAUGCAGCUGCAAUGGAAGCACAGCCUAGGUGCACGCCCAGGAGGAAGAGGGGAGCGUGGAAGCUGGUGUGGAAGGGAAGCCUAUCCAACCUGAGAACAGGAAGGGCCGGGCAGUGGGCAGAUAUGGAGCUCUGCGUUUGCACACACUUUGCAUGCAAAGUAAUGCAAAUAGAAUGUGCCUUUCCAGAAUCUGGCCAUUUUAAGCAAUAGCUGCAGUGUCACACAGUUCCUGGGACUUUCCCCUCCACUCAUCAACAGAGGAAGAUGGACAAAAGGAGUCCCUUUUCCUUUGUCCUGGAUUUCCGGGGAGGCAGACACGUUAAUAUUGCUUGCUAGCCCCACUCGUCUCCCCCCUCUUUACGCCAGAUUCCUCGAUUCCUUCUGUUCUCAAGCUUCAUCAGCUGAUUCUGGCCUCAGAUCUUUAGUCUCCUUUUUCCAGUUUCCUGAUCUCAAUCUUCCUUCCCUAUUCAUUGGAUGUUUAUUAUACGCUAGUCCUUGUGUUAAGAACUUUAUAUCUAUAAUGGGAAGAAAGUAUUGCUGCGGUUUGAGCUUGUUAACCUAGAAAGGUGGUAGGAGUCCACUAAGGGGAAAAACUCUUUCUGUUAGGAACACACCUUAAUGGACUUUGGCUAUAAAAGCGGCGUAAUCAAACAGGAAGAGGUUUGGUAACAAACAAACAAAAGGAUGAAGGGCACGAAGGGGAGAGAGAGAGAGAGAAUUGCUCUCUAUGACAGAGUGGAAGGAAAAGAGUCUUGGAGAACUUUUAGAGCGGCUGGGUCCUCAAGAAGCUAGUGGUGACUUGGAAAAGGAAGCAAAUGUUUCAGCCCUGGCUGUGCAUUAAAAUUACAUGGAGGGGGCCGGCUCCGUGGCCGAGUGGUUAAGUUCGCGUGCUCUGCUGCGGUGGCCUAGGGUUCGGAUCCUGCA